rnacentral:rRNA from 1 species
GUAGGGAAUAUUGGGCAAUGGAUGCAAGUCUGACCCAGCCAUCCCGCGUGCCGGAAGAAGGCCCUCAGGGUUGUAAACGGCUUUUGACGGUGAAGAAUCGACAGGAUGCGUCCUGUUUUGACGGUAGCCGUUGAAUAAGCACCGGCUAACUCCGUGCCAGCAGCCGCGGUAAUACGGAGGGUGCGAGCGUUGUCCGGAUUUAUUGGGUUUAAAGGGUGCGUAGGCUGGAAGGUCAGUCAGCGGUGAAAAGCUGUCGCUGAACGAUAGUCUUGCCGAAGAUACUACAUUUCUUGGAUGAGGAGGAGGCCACUGGAACGGAUGGUGUAGCGGUAAAAUGCAUAGAUAUCAUCCAGAACACCGAUUGCGAAGGCAGGUGGCUGUACCUUAAUCGACGCUGAUGCACGAAAGCAUGGGGAGCAAACAGGAUUAGAAACCCCUGUAGUCC